UGUCCUGAGGCUUCCACUCAACACACGCUAAAACCUCAAAGCAGACAUCAGUAUCAACAGAGAUCCUAGAGCAGCUUUUUAGAGCUGACUUGAGGAGAAGGUGAGGGGUCUCUUAAUACUAAUAGAGAGUGGGGGAAAUCUCAUUUAUUUUUUUUUCCAUUCUCUAGUGCCCCAGUCCCCAAUCAAUCUUUUGGUGGUAGCAGUAGUGGCAGCAGCAACAACAAAGAUACACAGAACCCAGACUCAUUCAGUAGAGGACGAGAUGGCUUGACUUCAGGGAAGAGACAACCUGACUUCAGGGAAGAUGACCUGCACUUUCCAACCCCUCUCCAGUUCCCCUCUCUGCUGACAGCCAUUUUCAUCACUCAAUAAAAUUCUCCACCUUUACUAUC